rnacentral:rRNA from 1 species
AGUAUUUAAAUAAUAAAAAGUCUGGCCUGCCCAGUGAGUAUAUUAAAUGGCUGCAACGAGAGUUGUACUAAGGUAGCGCGAUAAUUUGUCUCUUAAUUAGAGAAUGGUAUGAAGGGUUAGACGUGGGAUUAUUGUCUCUAAAAAAUACAGUUAAGUUUCCUUUUAAAUGAAAAGGUUUAAAUUUAUUAAAAGACGAGAAGACCCUGUCGAGCUUAAUUAAAUAAAAAACUAGAUAUGGUUAAAUGAAAAGUGUUAAUAGUUUAAUUGUUGGCUGAGUUUUUAAUUGAAGUUUAGUUGGGGAGAGCUGAGUUUAAGGUAAUAAACUUAAGAAAUACUAAAGAUCCUCUUUGAGAGAAGUUAGCAAAAGCUACCGCAGGGAUAACAGCCGUAAUUCUUUUUAAGAGAUCUUAUUGAGGGAAGAGUUUGCNACCUCGAUGUUGGAUUANAAAAACUUUUUGGUGUAGCAGCUAGAAGUUGUAAGACUGUUCGUCUUUUAAUUUUCU